AAGUGCGUCUGAAACCUUCUCGCGCUCUCCUUUCGCAUUUGUCGCACCCACUACCUAUUCACUCGAACCCUAGCCUCUUCACUUCCUUUGCACCUUGACCAACCGGACUCGAACCCUAGCCUACCCUCUUCACUUCCUUUGCACCUUGACAGGCACGUUGUUCUUUUAAGCUUGUUUUAAUGGGUCAAUGUUCCCGGCCAACUUGUUUUCUACUUCUUUCACGGGUCGAAGUUGGCGGCUUGACCGCACAACACCACUCCACUGCCACUGCUUCUCCGGUGACGCCGCAAUCUCUCGAAAACGACAACGACAAAGACGACAACGAGGAUUUAGCGCUUUAUGGUGGCUUAUUCGACAAUGAACAGAAAAGAAGAUUUUGGAGAUUAAAGAGAAACUCGAAGAGUCUGAGCAAGUAUUGUUCUGUAGAAGAUUCGAAGAGUGGAAAGGGGAAUUCAGCUAUUUGCGAAGCUAUAUCCCUAAUUUUCGAGAUGAUGGUUGAGGGAGUAGAGGAGACAACCGAAGGGGAUGAAGAAAGUAAUAAAUCUUCUUCCUUUUUUUUUGAGGCCACUUAUUCUUACUGCUCAAGUUGGAUGCGUUUUAAGAAAGGGUGGUAGUGUGAUAAAGAGAAUGGCAGCUAAGAUUGGUGAACAGCUUUGGAUCCUUCCUAAAGACAAGAUUCCAGUGUUUGUGCAUCAGCUUUUGAUGAGAUAGUUCAGGUUCGAAGCACAUUUGGAAGUUCACGUAGGAUCAAUAGAUGAGGAGGAGGACGAGCAAGGAAUUACACAUAUGAUUGAACAUGUUGCUUUCCUAGGAAGUAAAAAACGUGAGAAGCUUUUGGGAACAAGACUUUGCUUUAUUCCAUGCCAUUGCUAUAUAAGCCUCUUCCACUUUUGUACAAAUGCAUAUAUAUAUAUAUAUAUAUAUUUGCUUUAAGGUGGUGUUUCAUCUGAUCUAGGUCUUAUGCUUUGGUUUUGACUCUACUUGACAGGGCUCAGUAGAGUGAAUAUGGAUAUGGUACUUCUAGGUUCGGAGACUUAAAGAUUUUGGGGUUACCCAGGGUGAAUUAACUCGUUAUUUAGAUGCCCUUCUGAAAGAUAGUGAACACCUAGCAACCAUCAUUGAUAAUGUAUCUUCUGUUGAUAACUUGGAUUUUAUCAUGGAAACUGAUGCUCUUGGACAUAAAGUUAUGGACAAGAGACAAGGGCAUGAAAGUUUACUUGCUGUUGCUGGGGCAGUUACCCUUGAGGAGGUCAAUUUUGUUGGUGCCAAGGUGUUAGAAUUUAUAGCUGAAUUUGCAAAGCCUACUACACCACUUCCUGCAGCAAUUGUUGCUUGUGUUCCAAAAAAAGUUCACAUUGAGGGAGCUGGUGAAACAAGAUUCAAGAUAUCAUCAAUUGAAAUUACGGAUGCUAGCAAAGCUGGAUUGGAUGAACCUAUUCAGCCAGAGCCUGAGAUAUUUCUUCCUUCAACUUAAUUCCUUGUUAGUUGAUCUUGAUUUGGCUUUAGAAGAAUUGAUUUUUUUCACCUAGUGACUGAUGACUUGUCGAUGUAUUUGAUAUUUGAUUACAUUCAAAAGUUGUUUUGUUCCCUAGAAUAGCAUCUAUAUUUUUCAUGUGCUAUGAUAUGAGUCUACCACUGAUUCAAAUUGGAUUCAUUAUAUAUAGACAGUGAAUUCUAGUGACGA